GGAUUUCUACCAUAUCAUGGUGAAAAAGACACAUAGUUCUAACCCCUUGACUAGUAUGAUAUCGUUGAAUUCAAGGUUCUUGGCUAGACGUAAUUUGCUCGCCUUUGAUGAUGGUGCUGUAGUGGUGAUAACCGAAACAGAUCUAGAUGGAUAUGAUUCGAGCCUCAACUCCAGGGUGGCUGGAUCCGAGAUAUGGGCUGAUUUGAAUUUGGUUUACAGGGUUCGAGUUGCUGGUGGGGCAGCCUUAGCAAGACUCUCCUGUAUGUGGCUUAGCUGCCACACCGACCAGAAGAUUCUGAAUCAGAAGCCGACUGCAAAGAGCAAGCAGCUGGAAAGUUUUACUGUAGAUAUUCAUGUCUUCUCUUAAACUAAAAGUUGUAUAUAUACACGUGUUCUCUUCAGUUAAAAAGUUGUAUAGGUUUCUUCAUUACAUAAAUAUGUGACAAGGUGUCUAC
rnacentral:misc_RNA from 1 species